rnacentral:rRNA from 1 species
CCUACGGGUGGCAGCAGUGGGGAAUAUUGGGCAAUGGGCGCAAGCCUGACCCAGCAACGCCGCGUGAAGGAAGAAGGCUUUCGGGUUGUAAACUUCUUUUCUCAGGGACGAAGCAAGUGACGGUACCUGAGGAAUAAGCCACGGCUAACUACGUGCCAGCAGCCGCGGUAAUACGUAGGUGGCAAGCGUUAUCCGGAUUUACUGGGUGUAAAGGGCGUGUAGGCGGGAAAGCAAGUCAGAUGUGAAAACCAUGGGCUCAACCUGUGGCCUGCAGUGGAAACUGUUUUGCUUGAGUGCUGGAGAGGCAGGCGGAAUUCCUGGUGUAGCGGUGAAAUGCGUAGAUAUUAGGAGGAACACCAGUGGCGAAGGCGGUCUGCUGGACAGCAACUGACGCUGAGGCGCGAAAGCGUGGGGAGCAAACAGGAUUAGAUACCCCAGUAGUC